GUCUGCGGCCAUACCACUCUGAACGCGCCUGAUCUUAUCUGAUCUCAGAAGCUAAGCAGGGUUGGGCCUGGUUAGUACUUGGAUGGGAAAAAAGACAACAAUAACUCUAGACA
rnacentral:rRNA from 1 species